UCAUACAGAAGUGUAAAAACAAAACAUCACCACAUUUUCAAAACAACCAAAAAGUGGAGGCGUUUUAGAGACAAUAACUGCCUGACCUUGCUGGUGUAUAAGGAGCGUGGAGAGAAGAGUAAAGGACAGCGGGAGAGGAAUCAGGCCACGCUGAGGGAUAUCUGUGGACUGGAGGCACUUCAGGGGUUUGAUGGAAUGAAUUACGUGCUCAGUCUGCUCUGCCUGAGCCAGUCUGUCAUGCUGGGCUUCGACAACAAAGUGUCUCUUCUGGCCUGGGAUGCCCGUAUCCGCUACAGCCUUGGAGAGGGUGAGAGAAGAGCGUGUAAGGUUCCACGUUCCAUGCACGCUCAAGCUAUUUCUCUUCUCUCUGUCUCUAUAGGGGCUGGUGUUUUCUUCCUUGCAUGUGCAGAAGGAGAACAGAUCAGUUUUUUGUUCGAUUGCAUCGUUCGUGGCAUAUCGCCAAGCAGGGGGCCGUUUGGACUGCAUCCAGUCCUGCCAGACCCCAGUGCUAACCCAUCAUCUAUAGAAGACAGGAUUAGCCAGGAGGCUUGUGAGCUAGAGAAACGACUCAGUAUGCUGUCCAUUUCCUCCACCUUCAGUUAUGGCGCCUCCUUGGCAGGAGAUGAUCGGAGCAUCUCCAGCUCCUCCUCUGAGACCAGCCAUUCUGAUAACAGCCUGGGCAGCCGCCUGGCGAUAUGGCCUGAGCCAGUCAGACACCCCACUCCUGUCGAACCAUCAUCAUCAUCUUCCCUGUUAGCGUUUGCGGGAUCUAAGAGUACAGCCUGUUCUGUCAGCACGUCCAGUGACGAGCGUCUAUAUGGAGCAAUGAUGGGAGGGCUCCGUCCCCCAUCCAAGCCUCCUCACCCCAGAGGCCUUCAAGAGGCGGGACGCCAGAGCUCAACAGACAGCGGUAUUGCCACCGGAAGCCACAAUUCUUAUUCUGGAAGCUUCUCCUCCUACACUGGUAGUAUGGAUAUUGGGCAUGGAGAGACUGAUGAAUUUGGAUCCUUAACAAGCCUCCCUCAAAACCCCAUACGAACAAUUCCUCUAAUUCCUGAGCACAAACCGUGUGUGUGUCCACUCAGAGAGGCUGCUCAAAUGUACCAGGUACCCACUCCACCUCUGCAGCAUUAUGACAUCCCCCGCAGGCUCCUACAACAUCAGGAGAAGUUUUUGACUGCUGCAAGCCAGGGACGGAGGCCUGAAUGUGGAGCUCUGGGACCAGAGGGCGUCCCUGCAGAUGCUACCCUCAAACAAACUGUCCCACAGAGAUUCAAUUGGGGUGGGGAAGGAGCAGCACCCCCCGAAGGUUCCACUACACUGCAAUUACAGCCCACCAUCUGUCCUGACUGUGGGGGAGAAAAGGUAACAAGAUUUGUUUUCUUGUUGAUUUUCUGCUCUUGGUGUCUUUUUGAGAUUUGGAUGGAACACCACACUAAAAGUACCUUUUAA
rnacentral:lncRNA from 1 species